UUGAAAGGGAAACGAUUGAAGUCAGUCGUACCUGCGGGUAAUCAGCCUUUUGGGCAUGAUUCUGUGGAGCGUGAGGAGUUAAACGCCUUCAUGCCUGCAUAUUCGUGUACUUUGGGUGUACUUGCCUGUGUGGUUAGUUAACAUCAAUUUUGGUUAGCAUAAAAUGGCUGGAGGAAUGUAGCUUCGAUUUCGAUUGAAGUGUUAUAGACUUCGGCAGAUGUGAUGAUCGGGAUUGAGGAUUGCAACGGAUACCCUUCGGGGCUACCUGUCUGAUCUCUGAUCGUUGCUCUGGUGCCGAAAGCGUGCUUACGGUUAUCAAAGUCGAUGGUUAAUAGGUUAGAAUGGGUUAAAUUCGUUAAGGAUGUUGACGUA
rnacentral:rRNA from 1 species